rnacentral:tRNA from 1 species
AGGGUUGUGGCUUAUAGGUGGAGAGCUUGCCUAGCAUGCAUAGGCACUGGGUUUGAUUCUCAGCACCCCUA